rfam:Dipodomys ordii contig_43727, whole genome shotgun sequence.
GGGAAGGUGGCUCAGUGGUAGAGCACUUGCCUUGCAUGCAUGAGGCCCUGAGUUCUAUUCCCCACCACCACA